rnacentral:rRNA from 1 species
GACGAACGCUGGCGGCGUGCUUAACACAUGCAAGUCGAACGAUGAACCGGAGCUUGCUCUGGGGGAUUAGUGGCGAACGGGUGAGUAACACGUGGGCAACCUGCCCCAGACAUCGGGAUAACCACUCGAAAGAGUGGCUAAUACCGAAUACGACCACUUUGGGCAUCCAACGGUGGUGGAAAGGAUUCUGGUCUGGGAUGGGCCCGCGGCCUAUCAGCUAGUUGGUGGGGUAAUGGCCUACCAAGGCGACGACGGGUAACCGGCCUGAGAGGGCGACCGGUCACACUGGGACUGAGACACGGCCCAGACUCCUACGGGAGGCAGCAGUGGGGAAUAUUGCGCAAUGGGCGAAAGCCUGACGCAGCGACGCCGCGUGAGGGACGAAAGGUCUUCGGAUUGUAAACCUCUUUCUAGCAGGGACGAAGCGAAAGUGACUGUACCUGCAGAAGAAGCACCGGCUAACUACGUGCCAGCAGCCGCGGU